UUUCCGUAGGUGAACCUGCGGAAGGAUCAUUCAUAAUAAAGUGUUUUAUGGGACUUUUUAAAAAUCCAUAUCCACCUUGUGUGCAAUGUUGGAUCUCGUCAAUCUUGGCGAGAUUUUUAUACAUCAACUCAUUCUUUAACUAAUUUGUCUGAAAAAUAUUAUGAAUACUUAAUUCAAAAUACAACUUUCAACAACGGAUCUCUUGGCUCUC
rnacentral:misc_RNA from 1 species